GGUAGCAGCAGAGGAAGACAUUAAUUAAAGUAGAAAGCUUCAAUGUUUUCCUCAUUUGCUCUGGUUGGGACGACCUGUUUCGCGAGAGUCUGAGAAGCAGACAACAUGGAUUCUACCACUGGUCGUCCCUCGACUUUGGAGUCCAGCCUGAACAACAACAUCCAGGCUCUCUUCAAAGAGACGGGCGGACAAAAUGCUUCUCA